rnacentral:rRNA from 1 species
ACUCCUACGGGAGGCAGCAGUAGGGAAUCUUCCGCAAUGGACGAAAGUCUGACGGAGCAAUGCCGCGUGAGCGAUGAAGGCCUUCGGGUCGUAAAGCUCUGUUGUUAGGGAAGAACAAGUAUCGGAGUAACUGCCGGUACCUUGACGGUACCUAACCAGAAAGCCACGGCUAACUACGUGCCAGCAGCCGCGGUAAUACGUAGGUGGCAAGCGUUGUCCGGAAUUAUUGGGCGUAAAGCGCGCGCAGGCGGUCCUUUAAGUCUGAUGUGAAAGCCCACGGCUCAACCGUGGAGGGUCAUUGGAAACUGGGGGACUUGAGUACAGAAGAGGAAAGCGGAAUUCCACGUGUAGCGGUGAAAUGCGUAGAGAUGUGGAGGAACACCAGUGGCGAAGGCGGCUUUCUGGUCUGUAACUGACGCUGAGGCGCGAAAGCGUGGGGAGCAAACAGGAUUAGAUACCCUGGUAGUCCACGCCGUAAACGAUGAGUGCU